GCAGCAGCAUGAGCUUCUGGUGUCAAUUUUGCACUGUCAUCUUCAAGAUCUGAAGCUGCAAUCCAAUCAAUUGAUGGCUUCAAUGAACAUGCAAUACAAGCAUGUAGAAGGGCCUUCACAACAGACAGAUAUGAAUCUGUCAGGCCAACGUACUUCCCAACCAUUGCAAUCCUAACAGAAUUGGUAAGAUUAUCAAAAGUCUCAGCCAUCUUGGUCCAAUCUUGUAAAUCAGGAGGUGUUGCAAUGCUGAGUAAGUUAAGCUGUUUUAGAACUGCAUGAUGAGCAUUUUGGUUCCUAAGUAAUAGAGGGACAUGCCAAAUGUUUG
rnacentral:misc_RNA from 1 species